CCAUGUGUAGCCAGUCUAAAUUAAAUUGCACAAUUAACCAGUUAAUUGCAUAAUACAUGUAAUAUAUAGAGGGGGCCUCUGUUUGUUAAAACCCCAAACAUACAUGCAGGCAGCCUGCUAAAGGAGCAUUUUCCUGUGGUCAGCAUUUUUGCUUCCUAAUUGGGUUAAGUGGUAAGAUGAUGAUCUGGACUAAGGAACCUUCAUUUUAGCAUUUCCUGAUGUAGUCCUGUGCUUGCAAAGCAAAUAAAGAAUUUUUAUUUUUACUUCAAGUAGAAGUAUAGUGUAUUGGUAAGGAUGCUGUGUUCAUGUUCCUUAACAUUUUAAUCAUUAUAAUUCACAUUACACUAUAUUUUUUUUCUUUAAACAGCACAAAACUACCAAAGCUUGUGCAGGGAAGGGGUGGAGGGUGGGGAAUGGUAGAUGCACAUUGAAAAUGAUAUGUCAAAAUGUAUGUUCAGAAUGGGAUGACCUGUUUAAUUUAUUGAUACCUAGAGCAUAUAUCUUUGGAUUGCUGCAGCAAACAUAAAGAAAACCAAUCCAGCAUGGGGCAAAAUGGAACUGUGGGUGUGUUCUAAGACUUUGAGUAACCCCUUUCCCCUCAAGAGUUACACCAUAUCUGCUUCUUGGGUUAGUCUAACUAAAAUUGCAAAUCAAUGCAUUCUUUUUUUACUCUGAAAAUAUUUCUUCCACUGAAGGAGAAUUUCUUCUAUGCCCUUUCCAGGCAGUGUUUAUUACUAGUAACAGAAAAUGAGAAUUGCACACUAUUUUCUUUCUUUGAAGGAAAUGCUGGGCUUAUAGAAGCAGUAAUUAAGGGUAAUUUCAUAUCCCAUAAGUGGUUAUUAUGCUUCUAUGUGAGAAGGAAAUAAGAUGGCAAGGUGAGUAUUUGUGGUUUUACUGAUGAAGGAAUGGGAAUCAUUUGUUUUAUCUCAUAAGAAAUAUGAAAGCAUGGCAGUCAAACAAAGGCCAGAUCCAAAUAGGCUGGUUCCAGUUCAGUAGUACCUUGGUCUCAUUUUAGCAAGCCCUUUGAGGCAAAGAACAUCUUCUUGCUCUGUGCCUGUGUGGCACUUGGCAAGAGGCAGUCCUGAAACCUGACUUCCUAUGGCAUCAGGGACUGCUAGAGGUAAAUAAUAUAUUGUAAGAUAUCACUAAGUGUGAGUCUCAGCCUAACCACUAUUUUUGUGCUGCUCUUCCAUAGGAAUAAGUUUAGCAGUUGCACUUUAGCAAGGAAUAGCACAGUAACUUUAUUUAAGCAAACGCUUUUAUUUCCAUAUUUAAUGGAGGUGCCUUCAGCUUUUUUUUCCUCCUUUGUUCCUCUCAUAUUAGUCUUAAGUCAUAGUUUCAGUGGCUUAGCUCUAUCAAGUUAUUCUUACCUGGAAAGUGCAGAAGUAUUAUUUAGCAUUCUCAAGUUUAAAUGUGAAAAUAUUAAGUGCCAGGUUGCUGGAAAGAUUAAAAAGGGACUUCCAUGCUGUAAGUAAUGAAUGGACGUAUGUCCAUUCUCAAUAGCUGGCCCUGCCUCUGGCAAAUUAUUUAGAAAGAUGCAUAUUUAAAUGAGAUUUUGUUGCUUUACCAUCAAAUAAGCUCUAUAAGAAAGUUGUUAAAAUAUAUGUCCCUCUGCUCACUUUUCUUGGAGAUUCUUGUAAAUAAGUUAACAAGUGUGUUUUGCAAAGUGUCAACUGUAUCCUUUAAGAACAACGCUUAUUUUCUGCUUGCUAGAUCAGCAGUACAAUAUACGAUUUCCUCCUUUGGUUUCUUUGUGGGAUCCCAAUGCUCUGACUGUAUUAAACCCAUUUAACUUAUUCCAUGUAGAUAAUUAAGGGCAUUAUUUGCCUAUAUCUGUUCUAGAGGUACUUGCAUUUGUAAUACUUGCAUCUUGAAUAGCAGGCUGAGUUUGUGACUGCUUGGAUUGAGAAGGAAGAAUGUAUUUAAAAGACACUGAAGAAGAGGAAGCUUGUUCAUACCUGCUUGAAAAUGCUUUUGGACGCUUUUCUGAUCAGUGCUCUACACUGAAUGUUUGCACUUACUACCAAUGCUUAUUUUUGGUAACGGGAGGGGGAAGAGAGAAAAUAUUCUUUGUGUAUAGUUGAUGCGAAUAGCGAAAAGAGUUUGUUUUUGGAAACUGCUACUUUGUAAUAAAAAUAGUAUGCAAUAGUAAACAGCUUUAAAUUAUUUUAUAAAACCUCCAAUUUUGAAAUAAACUGACAGAUUUUCAGCAUAAAUCAGUUCUCUGUUUAUGUUCUCUGGUUGAGAAACUCCCUUACAACACUUACUUUUUCAGCUGUGAUCACCAAUUCUGUUUUCCAUAAUGUGGAUGUUUAUGCCCAGAGACCGCAUGUGCUUUUUUACAAAUACAUACAUCUUAAACAGCUUGACAAAUAGGACAUGUUCAUAUUUGCAUUUAGUUUGCAGAAAUCUGCAGAAUGAAGCCAAGUUAGUUCCUACUUCAAUCACUCUUUAAAAUUAAUUGAAUUGUGAGUGCACAGAAUUGGACAUACCUUAGGAGAGAGGCUUGUGUGAUGUUCUACAAGGAAAUUUUGCCAAAUCCUACAUUGUCUUUCUGAUGUGGAUAAAUGUCAACCUUAGCAUCUAACUCAUCAAACUCCUUUUCAUAAAUGACUUCAUACAAUUAAGAUGUGGGUUCCAUAGGUGAAUAGAUGUUACUUUGAUCCAUUUUCCUGUGCUCCACAGUCAGUUUUCUUGUAGAAUAUUCACAACAGAAAAGCAGUGGUAGCACAACCAAGGUGCAAAGCAGCUGAGAACCAAGGCCACAAUCACUGCCAGUUUAUAAAUUGGGAGAAGUAUAGACAUGUUGGAGCCAAGAUGGUUCUGAGUCCAUGGUAUUGUCACCCAGACCCUGUAAGUAGGUCAGGAGAUGAACCUUCUCUGAUUUCUGGACUAGGAGCGUGCACAGUAACACCUAGAAACCACUGGAAAAUGGUACCCAGUGCAAACCUCAGGGCCACGUGCAGAGCCCUGGCAUGCUGUGCGCACUACCCUAAUAUAAAGGAUUUUGAUUGACAGAAACAGGUAGCUGUGGAUGAGUGAGUGCGGGAGGGACAGAGUGCGUGGUCUGUCUGGGUGGUCUGUGAGAGGUGUGUGAGAUGUAAAGGUAGUGUUUGUGCGUGGAAGUAGUGGAGGUGGCUUUGUGGAUGAUUGGUGCAGUGUCGUGUCUGCUGAUUGUCUGGUGUUGUUACUUGGCCUGCGUUAUGUUCUGCGGGACCAGGCCGUUGAUCUAGACAUCUAGUGGAGGUCCACCCCAUUUGGAUCCAGCACACUUUCAUCUCCUACCCCUGGCGAUCGACAGCUGAGGGUUGCUUGAGUCAGCUCCCCAGACUUUCUCCCCUGGGUGUGCUGUACACAUAAAAUAGUGGCUCACAAUGCUCCUAUUGGUGUAACUAUCACCCCUCUUCUCCAGGCAUGAGGGAACAGGGAUCUGAUCCCUCUGGUACAGGUGAAAGGCACCUGUAUCACUCUGCCCACACACCUGUGUGUGUUUAUGAGGAUUGUUAAGGGUUAUAUAGAAAUAGUAGGAUAAAGUUUGUUUACCUGUGUUACCUUUCUCCUUCUUUUCCCUUGUCAUUGCUGUUAAUACUUACCUGAGUUUUAAUAAACCAUUUAUUCAUUUCAGUUCA